AAAAUUAUUUUAUAAACCCCCCUAGUCUUCUUCUUUAAAUAAAACCUAGUCUUUCUCUCAUAAUUCCUAUUUUAUAAUUAAGUUGUUUCAAUAAUUAAUUUCGGAAUAAAAUGUGUUUUGUUUUGGGUUACAAAUAAAGUUAGUAUUUUGAAAAACUAGUUUUGAUUCUUGUUCUCAUCCCUGUUUCGAAUUAAAAAAUGAAAAGAAGUUUGAUUUCAAAAGGUAAAAAAAAAAGGGAAAACAAAACGGAGCAAGCCCUAACAGCUAACCUGGCCUCUUCCCUCUCCUCUGGCCUUUUUCCUCCUCUAGCCGGCGGCCCAAGUUUCCCUACUGGCAGCCCAACCCACCGGCCCGCGUACCCCUUCACACAGGCCUCCUUCCACCUUUUUCCUCCGUCCUCGUCACUAUGGAAAGCGACGGGAGCACUCACGAGGAUGGCGUGAUCCUCCCGUGGUCCUCCACCACCGAGAGCCUCACCUGCUCCCCUCCCCUUUUAAUCCCCAUCAACGCUGCAGCAAACCCUAGCCUCCCUUCCUCACCUCGCGCCGCCACCUCCUUUCCCCCCUUGUCUCUUUUUCUCUGUGAGGAAAACGAACGAGCACCACCACCCAGCUCACCGUCGCCCCAUCAAAUCCGGCUGCCCCUUGCCACGCCGAAGCCACCAGGAGCUUCGCCUCUUCGUCCUGUUCAUCCAUGUCGAAGGAAUCGUCCAUGCGCGCUGUGAGUCGCCUGCAGUUUCGCCGUUUCCCCGUCCCGUCUGCCACGCUCCGGCGAACUUUCCGGCCGCUUCGAGCCUCCCCUUGCCUCACCGACCCUAGCCCCGCCUUCCUGGUGAGAUUUCGCGCCUCCUGACCCUCUUCCCCAUCCUCGUCUUGCUCCCAGGUUCUCCGCCGGCGAUGACCGCCAUAUUUGCUCGCAGAUGCUCCCGUUGGUGACGCUCUGGUGCUUCCCCGGCAGCAACUCCACCAUGUCCUGCAUCCCCGUGAGCUUCCGCGUCGAACGCGCUACCUCCCGCGUCCCGGUUCGACCUAAAUCGCUGGAUCAGUACCCGGCCAGAUCUCCAUCCGCCAUGGCUGCUCCUGACCCCGAGCUCCUGCUUCUUCUGGUUCAAGUCGUCGCGAACCUUUCACUGGACAAUAUCCUACCAGCAGUGUAGUGGUGGGGUCCUGUUGUCAUUGUCUGUUGACGCCAUCUCAGCAGAUCUCUGCUGCGUCAGCGCCUCGUCACCUCCUGAGCCCGCUCGUCAGCCUCCUGGCUAGUUCCCCCUGGCAUUUGCUUCUUCCCGGAUAGGAUCACGAAGUGGUGUUGUGAGAUACGACGAGUUCUCCAACAAGUUCUUCUGCAGCUUUCACAGG